GUUAAUAGAGUCCUACGAGAUGAGAAGAGUAACUGGUGAAUGGGCUCUAUUUUUUAAUCUAGUUGGUGAUUUAUGGAGAAGAGAAAGAGACUCUUCAGGUUUCUGCCUUUCCAUCUCAUUUCAAGAACAGAAAUACAUCGAGAUGGGGCGUCCUUACUCCCAGUCUUUCCAGAUGUUCUUCCCACUCCUCAACUGCUCCUGGCUCAGAAACCCUGCACACCUGGAAGAAAGUGAGAACCAGUUUUUCAACAAACACAUUGCACAGACUUAUUGUGAACCCCGGGUGGAAUCAAGCAUCGGAGGAAGAGAACGUGGGUCUUGCUGUGUCCCUAGGCUGGAGUGCAGUGGUGCAGUCUCAAUUAUGCCAGAUGGCUCUGAGGUCCAAGUAAAAGAUAAUAUUUGCAACCAACUCACUGGAGUUGACCAUCAAAACUCUUUUCCAGGUGGAAAAGCACCCUGAAUCCAGCUUCCUGCUAUGAAUGAAUACUGAGCUUGGGUUGGUGGAAAUUGAUUUUCGAGAUAAAGAAUCCAGCCAGGACUGUGAAGCCCCAGGGAAUGGCUGCACUUCAAGUCAGAAGGAGCCUGGGUCCCUGAAUCAUCAUGUGGAAGGCUCUCCACCCAGUUCAAUGGUGCAAUGGACCACAAGCAGGAACUUAAUUUAGAAUGUGCUUAUUUUGUUAGAUUUUGUAAUUAAAAAAUGGAUCCCACUCUGACUGAAUCAGAGAUGUUGAAGUCAUUGAUCUGGGAGGGUAUGUUCCUGGGAGUGGGUGGCUGAGGUGAGAUUUCAAACAAGGUUGUUGAGGAAGAGGAGUUCAAGUGACUGAGAGGACAUAUUGUUGGAUAAAUUGUGCGUGCGUGUGUGUGUGUGUGUGUGUGUGUGUUGAAAUCACCAAGAAUAGGGAAAGAAGUGUAUAAGAGAGUGUGGCAGUGAGCCCAGAGCUAAAAGAAAUCAUGAGCAGGGAGUAAUUCACGAGCAGAAAGUAGAAGCAACGAGAGGCAGUUAAUGAGAGAAGCAGCUGAGGGAUUUUAGCAAGGGAUGGG
rnacentral:lncRNA from 1 species